CGGGGUGCAGCAGGCGCGAAAACUUUACAAUGCGGGAAACCGUGAUAAGGGGACACCGAGUGCCAGCAUCAUAUGCUGGCUGUCCAGGUGUGUAAAAUACACCUGUUAGCAAGGGCCGGGCAAGACCGGUGCCAGCCGCCGCGGUAACACCGGCGGCCCGAGUGGUGAUCGUGAUUAUUGGGUCUAAAGGGUCCGUAGCCGGUUUGGUCAGUCCUCCGGGAAAUCUGACGGCUCAACCGUUAGGCUUUCGGGGGAUACUGCCAGGCUUGGAACCGGGAGAGGUAAGAGGUACUACAGGGGUAGGAGUGAAAUCUUGUAAUCCCUGUGAGACCACCUGUGGCGAAGGCGUCUUACCAGAACGGGUUCGACGGUGAGGGACGAAAGCUGGGGGCACGAACCGGAUUAGAUACCCGGGUAGUCCCAGCCGUAAACGAUGCUCGCUAGGUGUCAGGCAUGGCGCGACCGUGUCUGGUGCCGCAGGGAAGCCGUGAAGCGAGCCACCUGGGAAGUACGGCCGCAAGGCUGAAACUUAAAGGAAUUGGCGGGGG
rnacentral:rRNA from 1 species